ACGAACGCUGGCGGCGUGCUUAACACAUGCAAGUCGAGCGGUAAGGCCCUUCGGGGUACACGAGCGGCGAACGGGUGAGUAACACGUGGGUGACCUGCCUCGCACUUCGGGAUAAGCCUGGGAAACUGGGUCUAAUACCGGAUAUGACCAUGGAAUGCAUGUUUUGUGGUGGAAAGAUUUAUCGGUGCGAGAUGGGCCCGCGGCCUAUCAGCUUGUUGGUGGGGUAACGGCCUACCAAGGCGACGACGGGUAGCCG
rnacentral:rRNA from 2 species